AGGGAAUGGCGCCAUUUUUACCCGAGCGCCAAUCAGAAGAGCCCGACUGUGACGUCACGCGUCCGAGCUUGGCCGAAGAUCACCCGAGGCUGAGAUCGGCAUGCCGGCAGUUUCCGCGGAUUCCCUUAUUUGGGAAGCGCGGGUGACGUGUGCAAAAGGCGGCAUCAUUUGGACAAGACGCUGACGGCCAUUUUGAUGUGUGUUUCACCGCUGUACGAUCGACAUGGAAAACUACCGAGGAAGGGAAGACCACUAAAUCGACGCCAUAGUGGAUACGGCCUUGCCGAAAAGGCCACGUAGUUCGGAAUAAAAUUUACGUAUCUGAACCAAGA